rnacentral:sRNA from 1 species
UUCCGUAGGUGAACCUGCGGAAGGAUCAUUAAUGAAUUUUAGAGUGCUCUCUUCAUCAGAGAGGCUCGACCCUUCAUUUCCAACACUGUGAACUUUUAUAAAUUAGGCAAGUUGCGCAAGCAAUGAGCCUUCAAUUUUUUAAACACUACAAGUCUAAGAAUGUAACAAACCAAAAACAAAAAAAAACUUUCAACAACGGAUCUCUUGGCUCUCGCAUCGAUGAAGAACGCAGCGAAAUGUGAUAAGUAAUGUGAAUUGCAGAAUUCAGUGAAUCAUCGAAUCUUUGAACGCACCUUGCGCUCUCUGGUAUUCCGGAGAGCAUGCCUGUUUGAGUGUCAUGAACUCUUCAACCCACCUAUUCCUUGUUGAAUUGUGUGGUGCUUGGAUUCUGAGCGCUUGCUGGCCAUUACCUGCUUCGGCGGGGAAGGCGAAGCUCGUUCGUAAUACAUUAGCAACUCAAUUUCGAUAAUUCGGAUUGACUCGGCGUAAUAGACUAUUCGCUGAGGACACCAAGCAAUUGGUGGCCGAAUUUCGAGGUAGAAGCUUCUAACCUCAAUUUGUAGUCAAAUUUUAUUUUAAGAUUAGACCUCAAAUCAGGCAGGAUUACCCGCUGAACUUAAGCAUAUCAAUAAGCGGAGGAAAAGAAACUAACAAGGAUUCCCCUAGUAGCGGCGAGCGAAGCGGGAAGAGCUCAAAUUUGUAAUCUGGUACCUUUGGUGCCCGAGUUGUAAUCUCGAGAAGUGUUUUCCGCGCCAGACCGCAUACAAGUCUGUUGGAAUACAGCGUCAUAGUGGUGAGAACCCCGUAGAUGAUGCGGAUGCCUGGUGCUCUGUGAUACACUUUCGAAGAGUCGAGUUGUUUGGGAAUGCAGCUCAAAUUGGGUGGUAAAUUCCAUCUAAAGCUAAAUAUUGGCGAGAGACCGAUAGCGAACAAGUACCGUGAGGGAAAGAUGAAAAGCACUUUGGAAAGAGAGUUAACAGUACGUGAAAUUGUUGGAAGGGAAACGCUUGAAGUCAGACAUGCUAUUUGGAUUUAUUCAAUUCGCAGGCCAGCAUCAGUUUUUGGGGGCAGAAAAGGGUAGAAGGAAUGUGGCAACCCCGGUUGUGUUAUAGCCUUUUACUGGAUCUGUCCUUGGGGACUGAGGAACGCAGUACACUUUUUGCAAGUCUCUCGGGACUUUUUGUACUUAGGAUGCUGGUGGAACGGCUUUAAACGACCCGUCUUGAAACACGGACCAAGGAGUCUAACAUGCUUGCGAGUAUUUGGGUGUCAAACCCGGAUGCGCAAUGAAAGUGAAUGGAGGUGGGAACCGCAAGGUGCACCAUCGACCGAUCUGGAUUUUCUAAGAUGGAUUUGAGUAAGAGCACGUAUGUUGGGACCCGAAAGAUGGUGAACUAUGCCUGAAUAGGGCGAAGCCAGAGGAAACUCUGGUGGAGGCUCGUAGCGGUUCUGACGUGCAAAUCGAUCGUCAAAUUUGGGUAUAGGGGCGAAAGACUAAUCGAACCAUCUAGUAGCUGGUUCCUGCCGAAGUUUCCCUCAGGAUAGCAGAAACUCAUUAUCAGUUCUAUGAGGUAAAGCGAAUGAUUAGAGGCCUUGGGGUUGAAACAACCUUAACCUAUUCUCAAACUUUAAAUAUGUAGGAAGUCCUUGCUACUUAAUUGAGCGAGGACAUGCGAAUGAGAGUUUCUA